rnacentral:rRNA from 1 species
UACGUAGGGUGCUAGCGUUGUCCGGAUUUAUUGGGCGUAAAGGGCUCGUAGGCGGCGUGUCGCGUCGGGAGUGAAAGCCCGCUGCUUAACGGCGGGUUGGCUUCCGAUACGGGCAGGCUAGAGUUCGGCAGGGGAGACGUGGAAUUCCUGGUGUAGCGGUGAAAUGCGCAGAUAUCAGGAGGAACACCGGUGGCGAAGGCGGGUCUCUGGGCCGAUACUGACACUGAGGAGCGAAAGCGUGGGGAGCGAACAGG